AGUGAACGCUGGCGGUAGGCCUAACACAUGCAAGUCGAACGGCAGCACAGUAAGAGCUUGCUCUUACGGGUGGCGAGUGGCGGACGGGUGAGGAAUACAUCGGAAUCUACUUUUUCGUGGGGGAUAACGUAGGGAAACUUACGCUAAUACCGCAUACGACCUACGGGUGAAAGCAGGGGAUCUUCGGACCUUGCGCGAUUGAAUGAGCCGAUGUCGGAUUAGCUAGUUGGCGGGGUAAAGGCCCACCAAGGCGACGAUCCGUAGCUGGUCUGAGAGGAUGAUCAGCCACACUGGAACUGAGACACGGUCCAGACUCCUACGGGAGGCAGCAGUGGGGAAUAUUGGGCAAUGGGCGCAAGCCUGAUCCAGCCAUACCGCGUGAGUGAAGAAGGCCUUCGGGUUGUAAAGCCCUUUUGUUGGGAAAGAAAAGCAGCAGGUUAAUACCCCGCUGUUCUGACGGUACCCAAAGAAUAAGCACCGGCUAACUUCGUG
rnacentral:rRNA from 1 species